GGCAGUUCUUGGGUGAUGCACCCCAGAAUCGAGCUCCCUACUCUCUGGUUCCCAGUGUGUCACCCGAGAACCACA
rfam:Myotis brandtii contig306637, whole genome shotgun sequence.